GUAGGGGGCAAGCGUUGUCCGGAAUUAUUGGGCGUAAAGAGCUCGUAGGCGGCUUAGUAAGUCGGCGGUGAAAUACCGAGGCUCAACCUCGGCACUGCCGUCGAUACUGCUAUGGCUAGAGUUUGGUAGAGGAGAACGGAAUUCCCGGUGUAGCGGUGGAAUGCGCAGAUAUCGGGAGGAACACCCGUAGCGAAGGCGGUUCUCUGGGCCAAUACUGACGCUGAGGAGCGAAAGCGUGGGGAGCAAACAGGAUUAGAUACCCUGGUAGUCCACGCUGUAAACGUUGGGCACUAGGUGUGGCGACCCGAUCAACGGUUGCCGUGCCGAAGCUAACGCAUUAAGUGCCCCGCCUGGGGAGUACGGCCGCAAGGCUA
rnacentral:rRNA from 1 species